UGGGGGAUAGUGUAGCGGUAACACAGGUGACUCUGGAUCAUCUAUCGGAGGUUCGAGCCCUCCUCCCCCAGCCA
rnacentral:tRNA from 1 species